CCAGCCGGCCAUAGCGCGCGGGUCCGACCUGGACUCGUUCCGAUCCCAGACUCGCGAGAGGGGAAGAAGUCAAACCGCGCGUCGUCAGGGUGGUAGUGAGGUGCGAGAGCCCUCGCGAAGCCCUGAUGCUGGCACCU
rnacentral:rRNA from 1 species